rnacentral:rRNA from 1 species
UACGUAGGUGGCAAGCGUUAUCCGGAUUUACUGGGUGUAAAGGGCGUGUAGGCGGGAAAGCAAGUCAGAUGUGAAAACCAUGGGCUCAACCUGUGGCCUGCAUUUGAAACUGUUUUUCUUGAGUACUGGAGAGGCAGACGGAAUUCCUAGUGUAGCGGUGAAAUGCGUAGAUAUUAGGAGGAACACCAGUGGCGAAGGCGGUCUGCUGGGCAGCAACUGACGCUGAGGCGCGAAAGCGUGGGGAGCAAACAGG